GAGUUAGAUUAUACCAGCACUAAUGCACCGGAUCCCAUCAAAACUCUGCAGUUAAACGUGCUUGGGUGAGAGUUGUACUAGGAUGGUGAUCUCUUGGGAAGUCCUCGUGUUACACCCC
rnacentral:rRNA from 1 species